rnacentral:tRNA from 1 species
ACCUGGGUGGCUCAGUUGGUUGAGCGUCUGACUUCAGCUCAGGUCACAAUCUCACAGUCUGUGAGUUCGAGCCCCACGUCAGGUU